CGUCAGAGACAGAGACAAGCACUGUGCAGGUGGAGGUGCUGAAGACCCCCCCCCGUGAAGCAGUGUACCACCAAAGAGGUAGGGCAGGAGGCAGGGACGUCAGAGAGCCAGGUGCCAGAGACAAGCACCGUGCAGGUGGAGGUGCUGAAGACCCCCCCCCGUGAAGCAGUGCACCAUCAUAGAGGUGGGUCAGGAGGAGCAGCCCCAGCGGGAUGAUCUGAGACAGGCUACCACCACGGAGGGGCCAGCUGUCAGGACAGGGUCCGUGAGGGACACAGUACUUGGUCCUAGACGCAAAAAGAAAAAGUCAGAUUGCUCCUACCACACUCGCCUAGAAACUUUCCCCAUCAGGAGUGUAAUAAGAGAAAGAAUGAGAAAGGGAAAAGCAGAAAUGUUGGUGGAGUGGGAGCCCUGUCCAGUAUGUGGCAAGGAGUGGGCUCAUUCCUGGCAGCCGAAGAAUUCUCCGGGAUAAUGCAUAAAAAUAAAAACUGUUAUUUGAACUCCAG